ensembl:antisense Gm15418 predicted gene 15418
GGUCAUCGGUGUGUAAGGACCAUCACUGGGAUGUGAUGAUCGCAUAGCGACCGCCCUAAGUUCCCAACUGCAUCCGCAAGCUGGCUGGUCCCCGCAGGGCGUCCAGGUACACGCUGUGCCAAACUUGCCCGCAGCAACAAGCCAAGGGAAUCGCGUGGGAAAAUGGAAAACAGGCCUGCACGCCUCCGCGGGAAGUUGAUGAUCAGCAGGAACCGAAUCUCCGAAGUCACCCGCAACCCCGCUCAGACUGGCAGUCUAAAAAAGCUCCCCAGCAAAUGGAAGAAUGGAGCCUAUCACCUCGGAUCACCUUUGAAAAUCAUCCGGGUCAUCUGCCCUCUCAGAACAGACUCCUAUUUGGAGAGAAGGGACCUGGAAGUCCUGAGACAUUGCUGGAAACCAUCAAGCUAAAGUAACUCUCAGCCCAGGGAGGAGGCCACAUCCCUACAACAGGGAAUUAGAGAUGCCUGUGUGGCUGGGUGAGACCUGAAGGGCCCCUCAAGCUGCAGGGACAUAAAGAACCCUGAAAUGCCAAAUUUUAGGUAUACAUCUCAGGUGUGCUCACAGAACAGGAACUUUGUGAAGACAAAUGCCCAUGGAGAAAAGAAUGAGACACACAGUUUCCCUGGGCCUGUGUCUUCAACCAAGUCAAGACCAGCAUAGACGCCAUUCCAAAAGUA